rnacentral:lncRNA from 1 species
GUCUGGAUGGUUCUGGUAUAGACUCUGGGCUAAGAACUGCUGUGAAGACCUCUGCUGAUGGCCCUUCUGAUACUUCACAGUGUUGACGUGAGGACUCCCCCGUCCACACAUGAGGAAUGCAAACGCCCGCCCAGCUGAGGACGGCCAGGAGCACACCUGCCCGGGAUUGCUGGGUCACGAGACGGGGAAAGCGCUCGGAGAGGCGGGGUACCUUGCAGCAUCACCUACCAGCAAAUGGGGCAUCAGGGAGCAUGGACUCUUCUCUACUGGUUGGAGGUUAGUGGGGCUCUGGAAUACAGGGGGAGGUCAGAGAGGAUCUGACUGAUGAAACCUAGUGAAUAGGUUGCAGGGGGCAGGGGGGAGAGGUAAAGGGGAAGGAUCUGAUGAAUUUGGCACUGCCUGUCCCCUACUUAUUCCCCGUCCCCAGGGAAAUGCUGUAACACGUCUUUCUGUUGUCCCACAUUCUCUGCGGCAGUGCAGUGCAGACCCAGGGACCACACUGCCUGUGCCCCCACCCCCCAGAAAAUGGAGCCUUUGGCUAGGGAGUGAGUGCAGCUGACUUAGAGGGGGAACUGCAGGGCAGCAAGAGGGAGGGAAAAGAGAGGGGACGGAGGGGAGGAUGGGAAGUGACACGAGGUGAUGGAGAACCACACAGUCAGUGCUGGUCGCUGCUCUACGACAGACCACACAUGGGAAACGUGCCUCAAAUGGUCCAAGGAGGGAAGAGCGGGAUCUGUCCUCCC